rnacentral:misc_RNA from 1 species
UUUCCGUAGGUGAACCUGCGGAAGGAUCAUUGCACACACGAUGCAGCAAACUAGCGAACUGUGUUUGUCCCCCACCUACCCCAAGCACGAGGGGCCGCAUCUGGAGGUGCGGCUGUCGACGGCAAGGUCCCGACCUUCGGGUCCCCGCAGUGGUUCCCGCAAGCGGGCUGAUCAUGUCGCCGUCUGGGUGUCCAGCGCGGGCACUCGCCUUGCCUUAGGGUUGGGCGACGGGGGCAUUCUUCUCCCUUCGAUGGCGCUGUCCCCUUCCGCGGGGGUGCGAGCUGGUCGGCUGGUGGGGCUCCCGGGAUGUCUUUCGCCUGUCCUUGGGCUUGACCGACGAGGGCUACCUCUUCACUUGGAUGGCAUCAUCCCCUCCACGGGGAAAGCGCAACGCCUCGGGGUCCCUUUACAACUUUGCACCAUGUACAACACCAGUGGCUGAGUAUACCGGUGUCCCGGUUCCGCUGCUGCCCUCGGGUGGUGCGGGAUUGGUCCAUAGGAACAAGAGUAAAUAAAAACAACUCUCAGCAACGGAUAUCUUGGCUCUU